rnacentral:misc_RNA from 1 species
UUUCCGUAGGUGAACCAGCGGAGGGAUCAUUAAUGGAAACGGAAGAUCGCACAACUCAGUGAAACAACCGAAACGUGGCCACGGCGGGUCGCUGGCUCCCGGAACGGGGGCUGAGCCCGCCUGCGGCCCCAAAUGCCGUCCUGGAAGCGUGGCAGAUCAGACACCCAAAAAACAAGUUAAAACAUUCAACAACGGAUCUCUUGGCUCGAGGAAUGAUGAAGCAGGUAGGAAAAGGACAGGUCAGAACUCCGGACUCAACGUACCACGUAGUAUACCGUC